CAGGAGUCUCAAGCGUUGUUCGGAUUCAUUGGGCGUAAAGGGUGCGUAGGUGGCGCUGUAAGUCGGGUGUGAAAUUUCGGAGCUUAACUCCGAAACUGCAUUCGAUACUGCGGUGCUUGAGGACUGGAGAGGAGACUGGAAUUCAUGGUGUAGCAGUGAAAUGCGUAGAGAUCAUGAGGAAGACCAGUGGCGAAGGCGGGUCUCUGGACAGUUCCUGACACUGAGGCACGAAGGCCAGGGGAGCAAACGGGAUUAGAUACCCCGGUAGUCCUGGCAGUAAACGGUGCACGUUUGGUGUGGGAGGAUUCGACCCCUUCCGCGCCGGAGCUAACGCGUUAAACGUGCCGCCUGGGGAGUACGGUCGCAAGAUUA
rnacentral:rRNA from 1 species